GGAAGUCAGCCGGGUGAUCGCGGAAACAUGUGCCGAAAGGCCGUUUCUGAGGAAAGUCCGAGCUCCAGAGGGCAGGGCGCCGGGUAACGCCCGGUAGGGGUGACCCUGAGGAUAGUGCAACAGAAAUAUACCGCCGCUUAUGCGGUAAGGGUGGAAAGGCGAGGUAAGAGCUCACCGGCGGUCGGGUAACCGGCCGGCCCUGUAAACCCCGCCCGGAGCAAGACCGAAUAGGGGGCGUUGGAGCGGCCCGUUCCGUCCCUGGGUAUGGUCGCACGAGGUCGGCGGAGACGUCGAUCCCAGAUAGAUGAUCACCGCCCCGCGAGGGGAACAGAACUCGGCUUACAGGCGACUUCCCCCU
rnacentral:RNase_P_RNA from 1 species